UUGCUUUCCUUAACAGGUGCACGUGCACCUCGGGCACUUGUGGACCAGAAGUCUUCUGUUAUCAAACACAGCCCCACGGUGAAGAGAGAAUCACCCUCUCCUCAGGGACGGAUCAAUAACACAAGUGAAAACCAGCAGUUCUUGAAGGAGGUUGUACAGAGUGUCUUGGAUGGACAAGGCGUCGGCUGGCUCAACAUGAAGAAAGUGCGCCGCCUGCUGGAGAAUGAGCAGCUCCGUGUCUUUGUGCUGAGUAAACUUAACAGAGUGAGCCAGUCAGAGGAAGA